rnacentral:lncRNA from 1 species
CUCUAGCAGUGCUGCUUAGGACCCACGUGCUCAGCGUGGAACUCACGUGUCGGCGAAUGCGGAAGAAAAUCGGGAAAACCGAUGUGGCAUGCUCUUCCCAGGCAACUGUGCUGGGACAGGGUCCCGCAAACGUCGCGGGAGAAAAACCGAAGACAUGAGGUGCUCCCAGUGCGGUCCAACAGGCGUAUUUUAAAUAUAUGUCCCCAGGUCCAUGACUGAAGAAAAUUCUGGAAGGACUCCCAGGAAGUUAUUUCUUUUUUCUGCUUGCUGUGAUAUUGAGGUCCAUCCACCUAGGUGCAGACUCAGGAGACAAUUGUCCAGAGGAGAAAACGGUGAUGACAUCUUUUUGGCUGGAUGGAACUGAUGGAAGAUUUAUGGAGCAGCUGAGGACUGUCAGAGCCAGACCCAGCAGAUUUCCUAAGAGAAUGACCAUGGCCUUUUCAUCAGCGAGCACACUGCCUUCUGAAAUGGUCUAACAUGAGAGAGAGAGAGAGAGAGAGAGAGAGAGAGAGAGAGAGAGAGAGAGAGAGAGAGAGAGAGAGAGAGAAGGAGAGGGAGAGGGAGAGGGAGAGGGAGAGAGGGAGAGAGAGAGAGAGCCCUAUCUAACCAGCCAUCAGUGAGGUUAUCCCUGUACCCCACAGCUGCUGCCACCCAAUCUGAAGGUUCCCGCUUCUGCUCUUGAAGUAUUUAUUGUAUGUGACCACACAGAAGUCCUAGCUGUCACCCACCGUCAAACCCCCUAGCCCCAGUCUGGGACCCAGAGCCCUCCAGGAGUGGGAAACUUCAUCCUAUACCUUCUCAGUCACAGGGAUUUCAGAAAUUAGUCACAGGAAGCAGGGAGGCCGAGAGUGGAGGCUUCCAAGAGGAGCCAGUAACAGGAUCUGGGAUCUUUCACCCCAGGUCACAGAAGCUUAGACUGUCCCCAAGGUAGAGAUGAGUGGUCAAGGAUGGAACCGGCCUUCCCAAGGCUUCUGCCAGCAGCAAGAGCUUUGGGGAGAUGGAACCUAUAGCCAGGCAGUCGUCCCCUCACUGACUGCUCUCUCCCGUAUCUCAAAUGUCUGUCCUAAUACUCUCAACUCUGAGAGACAACAAGGGGUUGACUGGAGCCCAGAACCCAGCAUGUAUCUGAAACAAAGUCUUGACCUGACUUCCAGCCCUCCCCUCAUGAAUGAACACUGUUGCAUCUCAGAGUACUCUCAGACAUCCCAGAAUUGUCACUCACAGACAUCUCAUGUGGACAGACAGUAAAUGAUAAUCAUUCUGAAGGUAUGGAAAAGUUGUGGGGUGGUAGAGGCAGAAGGCACUGGGUUCAAUCCUCUAUAUGGAGAGAAAGAUGAUAGAUAGAUAGAUAGAUAGAUAGAUAGAUAGAUAGAUAGAUAGAUGAUAGAUAGAUAGACAGACAGAUAAAUAGAUAGAUCAGAGACACACACUAAAUAUCUACCAACAGAAAAUAGUUUAGGGCUGGUGAGAUAGCUCAGCAGUUAAGAGCACUGACUGCUUUUCCAAAGGUCCCAAGUUCAAAUCCCAGUCACCACAUGGUAGCUCACAACCCUCUAUAAGGAGAUCUGAUGCCCUCUUCUGGAGUAUCUGAAAACAGUUACAGUGUAGUUACAUAUAAUAAAUAUAUCUUAAAAAAAAACAAAAUAGUUUAAUAAGUUCUGGUUUAUGGAUAGGGAAUACCAUGCAUCCAUUUUUAAAAAAUUGAUGUAUGCUCAAUAAAUGUAGCAGUCACCCCUCA